rnacentral:rRNA from 1 species
GACGAACGCUGGCGGCGUGCCUAACACAUGCAAGUCGAACGGGGCCCGCAAGGGUUCAGUGGCGAACGGGUGCGUAACACGUGAAGAACUUGUCCAUCGGCGGGGGAUAGCCGGCCCAACGGCCGGGUAAUACCGCGUACGUCGUUCGGGGCGCAUGCCCUGGACGGGAAAGCAGCAAUGCACCGAUGGAGAGCUUCGCGGCCUAUCAGCUUGUUGGCGGGGUAAUGGCCCACCAAGGCUACGACGGGUAGCUGGUCUGAGAGGAUGACCAGCCACAUUGGGACUGAGACACGGCCCAGACUCCUACGGGAGGCAGCAGGUGGGGAAUAUUGCG